UACGUAGGGUGCGAGCGUUGUCCGGAAUUAUUGGGCGUAAAGGGCUCGUAGGCGGUUUGUUGCGUCGGGAGUGAAAACUCAGGGCUUAACCCUGAGCCUGCUUCCGAUACGGGCAGACUAGAGGUAUGCAGGGGAGAACGGAAUUCCUGGUGUAGCGGUGAAAUGCGCAGAUAUCAGGAGGAACACCGGUGGCGAAGGCGGUUCUCUGGGCAUUACCUGACGCUGAGGAGCGAAAGCAUGGGGAGCGAACAGG
rnacentral:rRNA from 1 species